rnacentral:lncRNA from 1 species
UCCCCAAGCCCCCAUGUAACGUCCCCAAGUCCCCAUGUGAUGUCCCCAAGCACCCACAAAAUAUCCCAAAGAACCCCCCCAACAUCCCCAAGCCCCCCCCACAACGUCCCCAAGUCCCCCCCCAAACGUCCCCGCGCCCCCACCUGGCGAGCAGCAGGCGCAGGACGUCGUGGGGCUGGGUGAAGGCACGGAAGGUGGCGAGGAAGGUGGGGACGAAGGCUCCGUCCCCGCGGGCGGGGGCCUCCAGCAGGUGCCGCACCAGGCGGGGCAGGGGGGCGGCGCGCAGCAGGCGGGCGGGGGGCGCCCCGGGCCGGGGGGCCAGGGUGAAGACGGCGUCGUCCUCGCGCACCUCCGCCUGGGGGGGGUCCUCGUCGGGGGGGCAGGGCCGGUAGGAGCUGAGCACCACCCCCGGCUCCUGGCCCAGGGGGGGCCGGGCCCCCUCCAGCAGCGCCCGCAGCGCCCGCGGGAGCAUGGGGCGCCCCACGGCUCCGACCCACGGCUCCGACCCACGGCGUGGUCAGCCCCACGGCACGGGCAUGGCGGGGGGGGGGGGCCUGGGCGAGAGGGGGGGCCCUCAGCACCCACUGGCUGCCCCACAGCAUCCCAGUGGUGCUCCCAGUGCUCCCAGUGCUGUCCCACAGCAUCCCAGUAGUGUUCCAGUGCUUCCAGUGCUGCCCCAUAGCAUCCCAGUGGUGCUCCCAGUGAAGUCCCAUAGUAUCCCAGUGGUGCUCCCAGUGCUGUCCCAUAGCAUCCCAGUGCUCCCAGUGCUGCCCCCCAGUGCUCCCAGUGCCUCCCUGCAGCUCCCUCUCGAGCCUCCACCCCCGGUCCCUGCGCCCAGUACCCCCAGUACCCCCAGUCCCGUACUCCCAGUCCCAGCCCCCCGUGCUCCCCCAGUCCCUGCUCCCAGUAACCCCGUCCCUCACCCCCAGUGCUCCCAGUACCUCCCAGUGCCUGCUUCCAGUCUCCCCAUUCCUCUUCCCAGCAACACCGCUUCCUGUUCCCAGCGCUCCCAGUCCCCGCUCCCAGUCCCCGUCCCCUCAGCCCCCUGCUCCCAGUGCUCCCAGUUCUCCCAGUCCAAGCU